rfam:Alkaliphilus metalliredigens QYMF, complete genome.
GGGGGCGUACUGGUUUCGACGGGGGUUUAGAGUCAUUAGUGGCGAGCCGUGUUUAGCUUGGGAUCACGUAACAAACUGAGCAAUAAAUACAAACGCAAACGAUAAUUAUUCACUAGCUGCAGCGUAAUAGCACAGCUCGUUUCUCCUAGGCUUCCCACAGUCUAGACAGAAACGUCAUCUUAGUGGGGAACGUCUUAAGGGGUGUCGCGACCUUAAGUUGUACAAUUGUGACUAGCUGAUCUUAAAACCCGUUGCUAGGUGUUAGGUAAAGCGAAAUUCUAAAGUAGCAACUACGCUCGUAGAAGCUGAUGGUGAAGGGCCUUCGGACAGGGGUUCGAUUCCCCUCGCCUCCACCA